rnacentral:rRNA from 1 species
AGCUCUGUAAGCGUAUACCAAAGUUGUUGCAGUUAAAACGCUCGUAGUCGGAUGUUGGCGGGCGCUGUGCAGCGACCUCGCGGUCGUUGCGCGGUGGCCGCCUUUGUGGAUGGGGGCUUCGUGGUGCUUCAUUGCCUCGCGUCAAGCCGCUACCACCGUUUACUGUGAAAAAAUUAGAGUGUUCAAAGCGGGCGUUUGCCAUGAAUACAUUAGCAUGGAAUAAUAGAAUAGGACCUGGUCCUGUUUUGUUGGUUUGUGAGUAUCAGGUAAUGAUUAAGAGGGACGGUUGGGGGCAUUUGUAUUCCGGGGUUAGAGGUGAAAUUCUUGGAUCCUCGGAAGACAAACAGCUGCGAAAGCGUCUGCCAAGGACGUUUUCA